rnacentral:other from 1 species
AUACCUCUGCGGUACAGGCCAGUAGCCGAGUGUAUGCCUUGAGCCUAUUAAUUUACUCAGGGACUAUACUGUAAAAAUGAUGUUGUGCAUGUCCAUGACAUGGAAAGCCUGAUUCAUUUUCAGUCCUCCCACUUGGACCCCUGGUUCAAGGUCAGCGGUUGCAACCGUGCUCGUGGAGUGUAU